rnacentral:tRNA from 1 species
GGUAGAGUGGCCGAGCGGUCUAAGGCGCUGGUUUUAGGCACCAGUCUCUUCGGAGGCGUGGGUUCAAAUCCCACCUCUGCCA